rfam:Triticum aestivum genome assembly, contig: Triticum_aestivum_CS42_TGACv1_scaffold_031255_1BL
UAUAUACUCCCUCCGACCCAAGAUUCUUGUCUUAGAUUUGUCUAUAUACGAAUGUAUCUAUUCACAUUUUAGUGUUUAAUACAUCCGUAUCUAGAUAAAUCUAAGACAAGAAUUUUGGGAUAGAGCGAGUAUUUG